rnacentral:rRNA from 1 species
UUAAAGGAAUUGACGGAAGGGCACCACCAGGAGUGGAGCCUGCGGCUUAAUUUGACUCAACACGGGAAACCUCACCAGGCCCAGACACUAGCAGGAUUGACAGAUUAAGAGCUCUUUCUCGAUUUGGUGGGUGGUGGUGCAUGGCCGUUCUUAGUUGGUGGAGUGAUUUGUCUGGUUAAUUCCGGUAACGAACGAGACUCUGGCCUACUAAAUAGUCGACGUGGUGCUAUGGCCACGGUCGAAACUAUCUUCUUAGAGGGAUGAGCAGCAAGUGCAGCUGCAGGAGAGUGAGCAAUAACAGGUCUGUGAUGCCCUUAGAUGUUCUGGGCCGCACGCGCGCUACACUGAAAGGGUUAGCGGGUCUACCUUCUCCGAGAGGAGCGGGAAAUCGCUACAAAACCUUUCAUGAUUGGGAUUGGGGCUUGCAACUGUUCCCCAUGAACGAGGAAUUCCCAGUAAGCGCAAGUCAUCAGCUUGCGUUGAUUAAGUCCCUGCCCUUUGUACACACCGCCCGUCGCUACUACCGAUUGAAUGAUUUAGUGAGGCCUUCGGACUGGCGGCUUGGACUGGGCUCCGCUCGUCACCCCUUCACGCCUUGUGCGCGCUGGGGCCGGUGGGCUCGCCUCGACGCGCCGGAA